rnacentral:tRNA from 1 species
GGCGCUGUAGCUCAACUGGACAGAGCAGUCCCGUCCUAAGGGAAAGGUUGGAGGUCCGACUCCUCCCAGCGUCA